rnacentral:rRNA from 1 species
UACAGAGGUCCCAAGCGUUGUUCGGAUUCACUGGGCGUAAAGGGCGCGUAGGUGGUUCUGCAAGUCUGAUGUGAAAUCUCCGGGCUUAACCCGGAAAUGGCAUUGGAAACUGCAGGGCUGGAGUGUUGGAGGGGGGACUGGAAUUCUCGGUGUAGCAGUGAAAUGCGUAGAUAUCGAGAGGAACACCAGUGGCGAAGGCGAGUCCCUGGACAACUACUGACACUGAGGCACGAAAGCUAGGGGAGCAAACAGG